CAGAAAUCCAAGUAGCAUGCAUUGGACAUGCCGUGAAAACGUGCACACCACAUGGCUACUGAGACGGCUGCUCAAGGAAAGAAGCACUUAUGAACUUUUCGUUCAUUUCUAUGAAUUUGGCUUCUAAUCUUCGAAUCAAGCGAGAAUGUGGUAUCUUUGGCCGAUGAGUUAAUGGCGAGGCGAAGGAAAGAAUUUUAGUUUUAUAGAUGAAAGAAGCUGACACUGGUACAGUGACCCUAAUGACGAAGUGAAAAAUUAGACUAUUGCCUCUUUGUAUAUGGCUCUCCUUGUGUGCGAGACGUUUUUUAAGAAUAUUAAUAUAUCACAUCUCGAUUCAGUGCGUCAAAUGCUUAGCAAGAAAUUCAAUCUUUUUGAUGUUAAAUUCUUAAUAGCCUCACAAAAAUGCAGAAUUUAACAAAAGGA